rnacentral:rRNA from 1 species
GGAAGCUUGCUUCCGAUAGGCGUCGACCGGCGCACGGGUGAGUAACGCGUAUCCAGCCUGCCCACCACUUGGGGAUAACCUUGCGAAAGUAGACUAAUACCCAAUGAUAUCUCUAGAAGACAUCUGAAAGAGAUUAAAGAUUUAUCGGUGAUGGAUGGGGAUGCGUCUGAUUAGCUUGUUGGCGGGUAACGGCCCACCAAGGCAACGAUCAGUAGGGGUUCUGAGAGGAAGGUCCCCCCACAUUGGAACUGAGACACGGUCCAAACUCCUACGGGAGACAGCAGUGAGGAAUAUUGGGUCAAUGGGCGAGAGCCUGAACCAGCCAAGUAGCGUGCAGGACGACGGCCCUAUGGGUUGUAAACUGCUUUUAUAAGGGAAUAAAGUGAGUCUCGUGAGACUUUUUGCAUGUACCUUAUGAAUAAGGACCGGCUAAUUCCGUG